CCUGCGGAAGGAUCAUUAGAUUGAAUUAUCAUUGUUGCUCGAGUUCUUGUUUAGAUCUUUUACAAUAAUGUGUAUCUUUAUUGGAGAUGUGCGCUUAAUUGCGCUGCUUCAUUAGAGUGUCGCAGUAGAAGUAGUCUUGCUUGAAUCUCAGUCAACGUUUACACACAUUGGAGUUUUUUACUUUAAUUUAAUUCUUUCUGCUUUGAAUCGAAAGGUUCAAGGCAAAAAACAAACACAAACAAUUUUAUUUUAUUAUAAUUUUUUAAACUAAACCAAAAUUCCUAACGGAAAUUUUAAAAUAAUUUAAAACUUUCAACAACGGAUCUCUUGGUUCUCGCAUCGAUGAAGAACGUAGCGAAUUGCGAUAAGUAAUGUGAAUUGCAGAUACUCGUGAAUCAUUGAAUUUUUGAACGCACAUUGCGCCCUUGAGCAUUCUCAAGGGCAUGCCUGUUUGAGCGUCAUUUCCUUCUCAAAAGAUAAUUUUUUAUUUUUUGGUUGUGGGCGAUACUCAGGGUUAGCUUGAAAUUGGAGACUGUUUCAGUCUUUUUUAAUUCAACACUUAGCUUCUUUGGAGACGCUGUUCUCGCUGUGAUGUAUUUAUGGAUUUAUUCGUUUUACUUUACAAGGGAAAUGGUAAUGUACCUUAGGCAAAGGGUUGCUUUUAAUAUUCAUCAAGUUGACCUCAAAU
rnacentral:rRNA from 1 species